GCGAAGCUGAGAAUUUAAGCCCCAGUAAACGGCGGUGGUAACUAUAACCAUCCUAAGGUAGCGAAAUUCCUUGUCGGGUAAGUUCCGACCUGCACGAAUGGCGUAACGACUUCUCUGCUGUCUCAACCACAGGCCCGGUGAAAUUGCACUACGAGUAAAGAUGCUCGUUACGCGCGGCAGGACGAAAAGACCCCGGGACCUUCACUAUAGCUUGGUAUUGGUGUUCGGUUCGGUUUGUGUAGGAUAGGUGGGAGACUAUGA
rnacentral:rRNA from 1 species